GUCAGAAUGGCCGAGUGGUCUAAGGUGCCAGACUUAAGCUCUGAGAGGGCGUGGGUUCGAAUCCCACUGCUGACA
rnacentral:tRNA from 1 species